AGUGGGGAAUAUUGCACAAUGGAGGGAACUCUGAUGCAGCAACGCCGCGUGGAGGAUGACACAUUUCGGUGCGUAAACUCCUUUUAUAUAAGAAGAUAAUGACGGUAUCAUAUGAAUAAGCACCGGCUAACUCCGUGCCAGCAGCCGCGGUAAUACGGGGGGUGCAAGCGUUACUCGGAAUCACUGGGCGUAAAGAGAAUGUAGGCUGGCUAUUAAGUUGGAAGUGAAAUCCUAUGGCUUAACCAUAGAACUGCUUCCAAAACUGAUUGCCUAGAAUAUGGGAGAGGUAGAUGGAAUUUCUGGUGUAGGGGUAAAAUCCGUAGAGAUCAGAAGGAAUACCGAUUGCGAAGGCGAUCUACUGGAACAUUAUUGACGCUGAGAUUCGAAAGCGUGGGGAGCAAACAGGAUUAGAUACCCUGGUAGUCCACGCCCUAAACGAUGUACACUAGUUGUUGCUAUGCUAGACAUAGCAGUAAUGCAGUUAACACAGUAAGUGUACCGCCUGGGGAGUACGGUCGCAAGAUUAAAACUCAAAGGAAUAGACGGGGACCCGCACAAGCGGUGGAGCAUGUGGUUUAAUUCGACGAUACGCGAAGAACCUUACCUGGCCUUGACAUAAUAAGAAUCUUUUAGAGAUAGAGGAGUGCUAGUUUACUAGAGCUUAUAUACAGGUGCUGCACGGCUGUCGUCAGCUCGUGUCGUGAGAUGUUGGGUUAAGUCCCGCAACGAGCGCAACCCUCGUGUUUAGUUACUAACAGUUCGGCUGAGGACUCUAAACAGACUGCCUGGGUAACCAGGAGGAAGGUGAGGACGACGUCAAGUCAUCAUGGCCCUUACGGCCAGGGCUACACACGUGCUACAAUGGGGUAUACAAAGAGCCGCGAUACCGUGAGGUGGAGCAAAUCUCAUAAAAUACCUCCCAGUUCGGAUUGAAGUCUGCAACUCGACUUCAUGAAGUUGGAAUCGCUAGUAAUCGUGAAUCAGCAAUGUCACGGUGAAUACGU
rnacentral:rRNA from 1 species